UAUGUCCACAACCAAACUCCUCUGCCAAAGCCUCUCCUUCGCGAAAAAUUCAUGAAAAACUCAUUUCCACCCAAACCGUCAACGAAAAACCUAGCUCCAAAAUUCAUGUCCGCGGACAAAAACCCAAAGCUUCAUCUCUUCUUUGCCACUACCAAGGGCUGUCGGCCUCCUCCACUUCAUCACUGCCAGCCUCCCUCAUUCUCUUCCUCUACCCGAUUGGGAGAGGACAGGCUCCCUCUUCUGCCUUCAUCUCAUCCACAACUGACACUAACGCACACAAUAGGAGCUUCAUCCUAGAAUCCGCCAGCCAUCUCAUCUCCUCUACUAUCUUCCUCACCACUAACGACAAGGUCUUCUCACAGAGCUUCUGGAUCUGAAAGCCAUCUCACGACGCCUUCGUCCUCAGCCGACAGUCUUCUCCCAAUUGGGAGAGGCGCCACCGUCAAACUCUACAUCACCCUUUCCUGAUUGGUAGAGGUUUCUUCGCCACCACUGGUUUCCUUCCACCUCUCCAUUUAGAAUUUGAAGAGUAAAACUUCAUCACUAGCCGACAACCCCUCUCCUCUUCGGAUUUGAAGAGGAGAGUUCAUCCAUCCUUUCGACAACCUCUUUCUCUUCAUAUUUGAAGAGAAGGGUUCGUUCUCCAUCAACAAGCAGCCAUCCACUUCGUUCACAGCCUUCGUUGGCAGAUUGGCCAUCGGAAAAGCUCCAUCUAACAGCUCCCUCUCCACUUCGGAUUCAAAGAGGAGAGCUCUAUUCCGAUCUGUGUCUACGACAUUGGGUUAUUUCUAUCUAUGUUGGAUUAUGUUAUGCUUGUUGAUUAUUGAAUUGUAAUGUAGCUAUUCUCCCAUGUUUAGAAUUGCAUGUAUUUUGCUUAAUUGAAUUCUCACUCGUUAUGUGUUUGAUGAAAUGGCUCUUUCAUUAGUUAGUUUCUAAACCUGCAUCUUCUUUGCUUUGAAUUCUUAUGAUGGCUAGUUAGUUGAAUGUUUUAGGUUAGAUUAGAUUAGAUUAGUUGAAAUUUGAUAAAUUUAUUCAUGUGAAAGUUUAUUUCUAAUAUUUCCUAAAUUUAUAGGACUCAAAUUUAUUCAACUUAUCCAUUACCUUGCCUAGACUCAAAUUGCUUUGAAUGGAGUUCAAUUAGGUGGGUUAGGAUUCAUGUACCAAACACCAAAUACUUGGAAUUAGCUGGGCUUGUUGUGAUUUUGGAUAUCUCCACUAUUAAUUUCAUAAUUUUCAAGCAUGUAGUUAUGUAUAGCUUUUUUAUUUUUUUUACUUUUGGUAAACCUAAUAUAUCUAGCAUGAUGCUUUUCCAUAGAUUGGCAAAGCCUGUGGGGAGAUAUGGAAAACAAUAUCAUUUGAGACAUCUAUUUGCAAACGUGAAUGAUUCAAGGCAACUAAGACUAUGCAAGAGUUACAAGGGCAUUGUUAUUGUAUGAGAUUGGAGACAGAGACAAGGCCAUUGCUGGGAUGGAGGAUGCAUCCAUUUCUCUAAAGGGAUACCCAGAUGUUAAUGGGUUAGAAACAAAUUUUGUGUGCCACUUCUAAAGGACAUCAUAUCAUAGUGAGAAGGAGGCUAUGAGAAGACUAACGUGAAGCUUUUGGAAUGAUUUACAGUAGAGAAGAAUGACACAGUUAAUAUCUAUCUUUUUUUUAACCAUGGGCAAUGACUAUCUCUCGGGUGUCGAUUGUAUGGAAAGUCAGCAUGUUGCAUCGGCUUUACUCUUCGUUGUUUGCUGAUCACUGAUAAUUGUGGACCGUGAACAGAUUGACAUUUGAACCUCACAAAUAAUGUUCACUAUGCCAAUAAGCUAUAGAGUCAAAUGGUCAUUUUCUUCUAUUGCCCCAGACAACUUUGGGACAAGGUUCAAGAAUGGUAGAGCAUCCAACCAGCCAUCUAGAUGGCAAAAUGUUUAUUUAGAGUUUUCUUAAGGUAAUUCUAAGACAAAGAUCGAUUGUCGAAGGCUCACUAUUUAGCAGUAACUUGUGUGAUUGUUUUUUAUAACAGACUCAGAACCGAUUUCAUUUCCAAGGUAAGAUACCUUGUAUUGAAAGAAUAUUCCUCAAAGUUUAGAUUCGUAUCUAUCUUUUUUAGAUAUUUAUAUUUUGUGUAUGUAACUUUUUAAAUUCUAUAUAUUUUUACCGUUCUUUCAGAUAAAAUUGUAAUAGUUACUGUAUAAUAGCUACGUGUUUUCUACUGUUUUAACUUGCCUCUGAUUUAUGAAAAAACGAAAAAUAGA